GCCUGGCUGGCUCAGUCAGUAGAGCAUGUGACUCUUGAUCUUGGGGUCAUGAGUUCAAGCCCCAUGUUGGGGG
rnacentral:tRNA from 1 species